rnacentral:rRNA from 1 species
AUGGACCGCACCCGGCUGCGCCGCCCAUCGCCGCCACCGCACCGCCGUGGCAGCCGCUGCACCAAGCGGCCUCCGCCGCGCUCGCCGGACGGCUGCAGCAGCCGCUGCAGCUGCCAUCCACCGCCCCGCCCUGGCUGCAGUGGCAGCCACCGCUCCUGGCGGCCUCCGCCGCGCCCGGCGCUCCGCCAUAGNNNNNNNNNGCCGCUGCCCCAGGGCGUCCCCGCCGCGCUCGCCGGGCCGCUGCAGCUGCCAUGCACUGCCGCCACCGCCCCGCCCUGGCUACAGUGGCAGCCGCCGCUCCUGGCGACCUCUGCCGCGCCAGGCGCUCCGCUGCAGCAGCCACCGCCGGUCAGCUCCGGCCCCGCAUCGACCGCGCCGGCGGGAGUCCCGAUCCACCAGAUCAAGUUCCCGCCGUCGCCAUUACCGCUUCCCCAGGGUGUCCCCAUCCAGCAGAUCAAGUUCCCGCCGUCGCCGUUGCCGUCACCGCUUCCGGCUUGGAUCACUACCCGCCACGUGUCGGCGGCGGUGAGGCUGCAGGCUGCUGCGCGCGGCCUCCUAGCGCGUCGGCGUGUGCGGGAGAUGCGUGGUCUGUAG